rnacentral:rRNA from 1 species
GUCGAGAAUCUUUCACAAUGGGGGCAACCCUGAUGGAGCGACGCCGCGUGGAGGAUAAGGUCUUCGGAUUGUAAACUCCUGUCAUGCGUGAACAAGGUUGCUUGGUUAAUACCUGGGCAAAUUGAUGGUAACGCAAGAGGAAGAGACGGCUAACUCUGUGCCAGCAGCCGCGGUAAUACAGAGGUCUCAAGCGUUGUUCGGAAUCACUGGGCGUAAAGGGUGCGUAGGUGGCGUGGUAAGUCAGAUGUGAAAGCCCGGGGCGCCACCUCGGAACUGCAUCCGAUACUGCCAUGCUAGAGUACUGGAGAGGUGACUAGAAUUCUCGGUGUAGCAGUGAAAUGCGUAGAUAUCGAGAGGAAUACCAAAGGCGUAGGCAGGUCACUGGACAGUUACUGACACUGAGGCACGAAGGCCAGGGGAGCGAACGGGAUUAGAUACCCGUGUAGUCC